rnacentral:rRNA from 1 species
AAGUUAGCUGGGGACUCUAAAGGAACUGCCUACGCAAGUAGUGAGGAAGGCGGGGAUGACGUCAAAUCAGCACGGCCCUUACGUCCAGGGCUACACACGUGCUACAAUGGCCGAUACAGAGGGCAGCUACCUGGUGACAGGAUGCAAAUCUCCAAAGUCGGUCUCAGUUCGGAUCGGAGUCUGCAACCCGACUCCGUGAAGUUGGAUUCGCUAGUAAUCGCGCAUCAGCCAUGGCGCGGUGAAUACGUUCCCGGGCCUU